CCUACGGGUGGCAGCAGUGAGGAAUAUUGGUCAAUGGGCGGAAUCCUGAACCAGCCAUGUCGCGUGCAGGACGACGGCCCUACGGGUUGUAAACUGCUUUUGUACGGGGGUAAAAUGCUCUACGAGUAGGGUUUUGUAUGUACCGUACGAAUAAGGAUCGGCUAAUUCCGUGCCAGCAGCCGCGGUAAUACGGAGGAUCCGAGCGUUAUCCGGAUUCAUUGGGUUUAAAGGGUGCGUAGGUUGUUUUAUAAGUUAGCGGUGAAAUACCGAUGCUCAACCUCGAUGCUGCCGCUGAUACUGUGGGACUAGAGAUCGCAUGCAGCAGGCGGAAUGUGUAGUGUAGCGGUGAAAUGCAUAGAUAUCACACAGAACACCGAUUGCGAAGGCAGCUUGCUGGGCCGGAUCUGACGCUGAUGCACGAAAGCGUGGGGAUCGAACAGGAUUAGAUACCCCUGUAGUC
rnacentral:rRNA from 1 species